rnacentral:rRNA from 1 species
AGAGUUUGAUCAUGGCUCAGGAUGAACGCUGGCGGCGUGCUUAAUACAUGCAAGUUGAACGGAGACAGUAGCAAUAUUGUCUUAGUGGCGAACGGGUGAGUAACGCGUUGGUGACCUGCCCCGAAGAGGGGGAUAACAGUCCGAAAGGAUUGCUAAUACCCCAUGUGGUCAUAUGGAUUAGAUGCCUAAUGACUAAACGGAUUUAUUCGCUUCGGGAGGGGCCUGCGUCCCAUCAGCUAGUUGGUAAGGUAAUGGCUUACCAAGGCUAUGACGGGUAGGGGACCUGAGAGGGUGGCCCCCCACAAUGGAACUGAAACACGGUCCAUACACCUACGGGUGGCAGCAGUAGGGAAUAUUGGUAAUCUGGGAAACCGGGAACCAGCAACGCCGCGUGCACGAUGAAGGCCUUCGGGUCGUAAAGUGCUUUUUGAAGGGAUGAGGAAGGACAGUACCUUCAGAAUAAGCCUCGGCUAACUACGUGCCAGCAGCCGCGGUAAAACGUAGGAGGCGAGCGUUAUCCGGAUUUACUGGGCGUAAAGCGUGUGUAGGCGGUUUGAUAAGUUGGAUGUGAAAGCUCCCGGCUCAACUGGGAGAGGUCGUUCAAAACUAUCAGACUAGAGAGUGGUAGAGGGAGGUGGAAUUCCGCGUGUAGUGGUGAAAUGCGUAGAUAUGCGGAGGAACACCAGUGGCGAAAGCGGCCUCCUGGCCCAUUUCUGACGCUCAGACACGAAAGCUAAGGUAGCAAACGGGAUUAGAGACCCCGGUAGUCUUAGCUGUAAACGAUGUGAACUUAGUGUCGGUGGGGUUAAAUCCAUCGGUACUGAAGCUAACGCGAUAAGUUCACCGCCUGAGGACUACGGCCGCAAGGUUAAAACUCAAAGGAAUUG